CAGUAGCCACGGUAAUACGUAGGGGGCUAGCGUUAUCCGGAUUUACUGGGCGUAAAGGGUGCGUAGGUGGUCCUUCAAGUCGGUGGUUAAAGGCUACGGCCCAACCGUAGUAAGCCGCCGAAACUGGAGGACUUGAGUGCAGGAGAGGAAAGUGGAAUUCCCAGUGUAGCGGUGAAAUGCGUAGAUAUUGGGAGGAACACCAGUAGCGAGGGCGGCUUUCUGGACUGCAACUGACACUGAGGCACGAAAGCGUGGGUAGCAAACAGGAUUAGAUACCCGAGUAGUUCCUGUCUCUUAUACC
rnacentral:rRNA from 1 species